AUGACGACGAAGAAGACAACGAGGAGGAAUUUGUAGGGAGUGGAGAAGCUGAACCAGCCCUUAUUGAGCGUUGACUGCAAUAUUCUCUUGGUUGAUCGGAUUGCGUCGUAGAAUAUGUGGCACUAGAGACCCACGUCUUCGCGUCCCGUACGACACACUAUACGCGCACCCGCACCUGCACCUGUACUCUCGGCGUCCUAGCUAUUCGACACACACUCGUUCACGUCGCACAAUCGCAGUGCUGCGAGGUCUGGCCACGGUGUCUUCGGGAACGCGAACGCCACGAGGAACGAUUCAGCGAAACACAAUGGCAAGGAGAGACGAGGAAAGAGAAACGAUUAGACAGUCAGAUAAGUGAAGAAACAUAAAGAAAGAAAAAGAAAGACAAAGACAAAAAGAUAGAAACGAAUUAAAUGAAAAAAAAAAGAUUUAUGAGAUUCUUGACAUGUACAUGAUAUAUUGCAUGUGAUUAAUUUUAGGAAUAUAUUUAAAAAUAAAUUUUUUUUAAA